CGCACCCUGCGCAUUCGAAGAACCGCAAACGUUCGAAUGUCUAUCGUAUGCCUUCGGGCGAUCUAUCAUCGUACGCCUUCGUACGUUCUGAGUAUUGAAUUAUUGUUCUCAUGUAAUGUAUAAAGAAAGCUGAAAUAUAGAGUUAGUCUUUUCUGAAACUUGAACCGAUCCGGACUUGCUUUCCUCUUUACCGCUAUCACAGUCGACCUCGUGUUGGGUAUUUAAAAGUGGCGACAAGGAUUAAAAAAGUGACUAAACACUAUUCCUGGUAUCCGGAAGAGUGUUUAAUACCGUUUUCGGCGUUUAGCUUAGACAUUGAAUCGAAAUCAAUCGGCAAUUUUUUUACGGCAUUUGUUAGUAUAAAAGGAGGAGCAGAUCGAGUGAAAAACGUUGAUUCCAGUUUGGUUUUAGGAGAAAAAUAAAGGUUUCACUUGCCAAGGUUAUUUAGUUACCGGCGAUAUAAAACCGGCGGGAAAGUGUUUUAUACGCAUUUCCUUUUGACUACGAACGGCAUACAAUAUUCCAGUGAUUGUACCACUCCAGGACAUCUGCUCCAGCGAGUUUCCGGCAUUGAUUGGUGUUUCGGAUUUCGACUUUACCAAUCCUUAUGGUCGUUGGCAGCUGAUCGACGUUAUUGGUACGUCACAGCACGGGUCGGAAGUGAUCCCUCAUCCUAUUCCCAACUGGACGACAGAGUUUGAGAAGGUCGGUAUUCCUGAAACCGGUUCGUUUUUCCGGUAGAAGUUUUCGUGCGGCAAAGGUCGUUGUUGGCGAUUGUCAAAGGGAUUCUCCGAUACGUAUUGGAAGCGCCGAAGUAAUGGCGCAUCGGAAUCAAAUAAGGAUUCGUAGAGAUGAGUCACAUCGGCAAAGGCCAAACGUGUUCAUUACCCGAGACUGUACAGACGAAGCUACGAACGAGAUGGGAGAGGUUAUCGGAGAGAACCAGGAGUUUGGUGAAAACGGAUCGGAGGCACUUCCUAGGGGGAGCAACCGGACACGGAAACGAAAACGAGAAGCUUCCGGUAUUGACGUACAAGAACCCAGGAGGUCUAAACGUAACAAGAAGCCGAAUCACCAUGAAGAUUUUUGCUAUGAUUAAUUGAUUAAUUCAAAAUUAUUAUACAUUUAGUUUAAAUCUGUUAACAGUGAACUAUGAUUAUAUUUCUGAUAUUUCAAUAGCUGAAGUAAUCUGUGUGGCCAAGGCCAAAUCUGAAAUGCUAGAGAUAAGUUUAAAAGGGGAAGAAUUGUUAUACCCUUGCGCACCCUGCGCAUUCGAAGAACCGCAAACGUUCGAAUGUCUAUCGUAUGCCUUCGGGCGAUCUAUCAUCGUACGCCUUCGUACGUUCUGAGUAUUGAAUUAUUGUUCUCAUGUAAUGUAUAAAGAAAGCUGAAAUAUAGAGUUAG